GAUGAACGCUAGCUACAGGCUUAACACAUGCAAGUCGCGGGGCAGCAUGGGGGUUGCUUGCAACUCCCGAUGGCGACCGGCGCACGGGUGAGUAACGCGUAUCCAACCUGCCCUUCACCACGGGAUAACCCGGCGAAAGUCGGACUAAUACCGUAUGUUGUCCAUUGACGGCAUCCGAUUUGGACGAAAGGCUUUGCGGUGAAGGAUGGGGAUGCGUCCGAUUAGCCAGACGGCGGGGUAACGGCCCACCGUGGCUACGAUCGGUAGGGGUUCUGAGAGGAAGGUCCCCCACGCUGGAACUGAGACACGGUCCAGACUACUACGGGAGGCAGCAGUGAGGAAUAUUGGUCAAUGGGCGUAAGCCUGAACCAGCCAAGUAGCGUGCAGGAUGACGGCCCUAUGGGUUGUAAACUGCUUUUAUGCGGGGAUAAAGUGGCUAACGUGUGGGCUUUUGCAGGUACCGCAUGAAUAAGGACCGGCUAAUUCCGUG
rnacentral:rRNA from 1 species